AAAGUGGUAUGGUUGUGGCAUGAAGACAGACAGACCAACAAAACAGGAUAGAAGACACAGAGAAACCCACAUAGACAGUUCUCUCACCCUAGACAAAGGCACCAGAAAUACAUGGGAGCAAAGAAUGUCUUCAACAAAUGGUGCGAAAACAGGAAAUCCUUCUGCAGCAAAGUGAAAUUAAACCCCUCCCUCUCACCCUGCACCAAACUCAAGUCAAAGUGAAUCAAGGACUUUGGCACUACAGCAGAGACCCUGAACCCAAUGGAAGAAGAAAUUAGCCCCAGAUCUCCACCAUGUCGGCUUAGGAGCUGACUUCCUUAACAAGACCCCUAAAGCACACACACACACACACACACAAAAAAAAAUCAAGAAUCAAUAAAUGAGAGGAAUUCAAAGUAAAAAGCUUCCUCUCAGCAAACGAAGCAAUCAGUCAUACAGAGAGAGAAUCUACAGAAUGGGAGAAACCGUUUACCACAUGCACCUCAGAGCGUUGAUCUCAAGAAUCUAUAAAGAACUCAAAAAACUUUAACACACACACACACAAAAAAAAGCCGAUCAGUAAAUGGGCAAAGGAACUGAACAGACACUUCACAAAGGAAAAAACACAACCCAUCAAACAAUAUAUGAGCAAAUGUCCC
rnacentral:lncRNA from 1 species